rnacentral:rRNA from 1 species
CACGUAGGGCGCGAGCGUUGUCCGGAAUUAUUGGGCGUAAAGAGCUCGUAGGCGGCCUGUUGCGUCCGCUGUGAAAGCCCGGGGCUUAACCCCGGGUCGCAGUGGAUACGGGCAGGCUAGAGGUAGGUAGGGGAGUCUGGAAUUCCUGGUGUAGCGGUGAAAUGCGCAGAUAUCAGGAGGAACACCGGUGGCGAAGGCGGGACUCUGGGCCGAUACUGACGCUGAGGAGCGAAAGCGUGGGGAGCAAACAGG